UCGUUUUUGAGAAUAAUUCAU
rnacentral:piRNA from 1 species